UACGUAGGGUGCAAGCGUUAAUCGGAAUUACUGGGCGUAAAGCGUGCGCAGGCGGUUUGUAAGUCUGUCGUGAAAGCCCCGGGCUCAACCUGGGAAUUGCGAUGGAGACUGCAAGGCUUGAAUCUGGCAGAGGGGGGUAGAAUUCCACGUGUAGCAGUGAAAUGCGUAGAGAUGAUGGAGGAACACCGAUGGCGAAGGCAGCCCCCUGGGUCAAGAUUGACGCUCAUGCACGAAAGCGUGGGGAGCAAACAGG
rnacentral:rRNA from 1 species